CCCGGAAGUGCUUCCACACAUUCAACCUGGAAUUGAACAGCAGUCUGUUGUAGUUGAUAGACCUUAUUCACAACCUCCAUCUUAAUUUGACGCGUGGCUCGGCAACUUCCACUUUGUGCUUAUCAGGAGUUCAACAUCGGCCAAUCCAAAAAUAUCCAUGUACACGAAAGUAUAAAAUUGCUAAUUCCCAUUUCAGAUAAACCCCUUGGACUGUAACCUAGUGUCGUAUGAUUUCUGACUUCUCUGACGACAUGCCCUAAUAUCAUAGUAUGGAAUUAUAGAAAAUCCGGCAGUCCCUGGAGACUGAGGAUGACUGUCUUCCACUCUGAAGCUGGGGAUCCUGAGGUGACUAAACAGUCCACUGCUAGGUCCAUACAGCCUGCCACGUAUAGGCAGGUGGUAUUUGAGGAUAAGGUGUUUGUUGUCCUUGGAUGGAGAUCAGAAGCAAGAGAUCUGUCUGAAAUCUUCGCUCUCUCCAUGAGCUCUCUGCUGUCUUUAAAGAAUCUCAAGAGAAGUGGAUUUAAACAACCCAGUUGCUUGUAGGCAUAAAUUCAUAACAUAAGACUUCACGUAAGUUAGCAGUAAUUAUCAAUGGUUGCAUGUUGAGAAUAAU